CUGGACUGAAGUUGGUGUGAUGUUGGAGCUUCGAUAUUCGCGGAAAUUAAGGGACCGUCUCUAAAGUUACAUCCGACAUUGUUAAACACGGUUCUAACUUCAAUAGCAUUUGAAGGGAAUGACUUACAGUCACAUAACCAACUGUACAGUGUUCAUCUAGAUGUCAGCUAUAACGCACACCUCUUAGAUUUUUUAUAUUUAUCAAAAUAAGCUAUUAAAUCAUAUAUAAAUUUGUCAUGUAUUUUAUUACUGCAUGAGCUCAUACACAAAAUAUACCAUAAUUUAAAGCUCAAUAGCAUUUGAAGGGAAUGACUUACAGUCACACAACCAACAAGAAGAGCAAUGGGCGAAGAGAUCACAAACUCAAAGACCAGCAAAGCAUCGUUCAAAGUUUUUUGAUCCACCAGUAGCAGUGCCCCGACCAAAAAGACACAAGAUAAAGCAAACAUCUGAGGAUCAUUCAGAGGACACAUCAGCCCAGGUAUCAAAGGACUAAAAAAGGUCUUCUAUCCUGCAUCAUUCAGAGCUGAAAACACUCCAGACACAUAAAUGGCUGGUGGGGGAGACAAUCCAAUGCUAUUUUCAAGUGGUGGUGAAUAACAGAGACCAGGGACACAGGAUUUUUAUACUAGAUCACUACACAGCGAGUGUUAUACUUCAUGGAGAAUGAGAUGAAGUAUGGAGAAACUGUCUCUCAAAGUAUCUCCAUGCAGCAUCCAGCCAGGUGUUUGUGGUAGACUCAGCAGGACAUGAUGAAGAAGCAAAAUCCAUGCAUUCAACCACUAGAUUUCAGUAAUAUUUUUAGCUUGUUAUAUACUGUACUUACACAGAUGGGUUACAAAUUAGAAAAAAAGCAUGACUGUGUGAAGGGGCCCACUUCUUUUUGAUGUGUUUUCUUGUCACGGGGUAUUGAACGGGGAAUGAUAUGCGGUGUCCUUGUGUCCUUUUCUAUCACCAGAUCUUUAGUAAAUUAAACAAAAAAUUAGAUUUUGGACCAAACUGUCAGCGCUCUCCAGUAUCAUCUUGAAAAUGUAAAAAUUUAGAAAUAUAUUUUGAAAACAUGAUGUUCUAUCCCCCCUGUUGGUGUUCCAGAGACUUGGCAUAGCUCUUGCAGAUCUCUGGAUCCUUAAUGAUUAUUUUCGUAAGAAUAAAAUGACAGGCUUCGAGUCUUUUACAUUGUGUAAGUAUACUAGUCUUCUCGUAAGGUUUUUUUAAAAUGCUGUCAAAGCCUUACAAUAAUUUUACUUAUUAACUUUUACUAUAAGUAGCAAGCAAUUCACAAUAAUUGUUACGUGUAAAGUGAGUGAGAUAUGUAAAGACAAUAAUUACCAUAUACUACAUAUAUAGGAAAUUAGUAGUAAUAGUAAUAAUGUUUUAAUGCUUAAUGUUAUCCUGUCAAUCAUUUUGAUUUGCUUAACACACUUACUAAUAUAGUCAUGGAAAUAGUGAGCAUUAGGUGUGUUGGAAGAGAAGGGUAAAUACAAAUCUCUGAGCUGUUGUGAU